AAAAAGACAAAACGCCCGGGGGGGAAAUCUGUAUCACACUAUAAUGUUAAGUUUAUCGUUAGAACAAGAUAUUUUCACAUUAUACAAAUGUAUCACAUUAGAAAAAGACGUGUUAUAAAAAUGAUUUCAUGUGUGAAAAUAAACUUUUCACGUCACAAGCUUUUUUCUUUCUCCGGCUUAACAGCUUCACAUCAGUAGUGGGAACAGUCGACGCAGAGAAAGAAGAGAAAGAAUGUAAUCAUCAGGCUUCUUCACGUCUUCGACAACAGCAGUGCUGAGCAGCCAUUUUUGUUUGUUCAGACCUUCAGUGUCGGGGGGUCGGCUGAGGAGGCAGAGGUCAGAGGUCAGGCCUAAAGAAAACUCCCCUGACCUCCUGAAUGGAUUCUGCUGCAGUCAGACACAACGUUUGUUGUCCCUGCAGCCGGAUCAGCGUCGACCUCCACACCCCCUUUAAAUCUGCCCCUCUCACUUUAAUGGGCCCUGAAACCCUGGAGUCACCUGACGACUGAUGACUCUCUCCUCGUGUCCGUGGGUUCGAUGCCACACCUGUAACCCGGUGGAGAUCAGUUCGACCAUGCAGCCUCAGAGUCUGGCCUCAGGAGGAGAAGAAAGAGGAGAGGGAGAAAGAAGGAGUUUCCCCCCGUCGGUGAUGAAAACCUCACAUCUCCACGGUGAAAAGUACAAAGUGCACUUUCUGGCCCAGGGGCCUCGCGGGGGGUUUUCAGCGGGUCUGACGGGGUCACAGGACUCAGACGACCGGGUCGACUCUCGGCUCAGGUGGUUGUGAAUCCACACGUCGGAGCCAGUGUCACUGCGUGGGCGAGAUGCAGGAGUGUGUCACGGGACCCUGGGGGCCCGACAUCAAACCAAAUCCAACCCAACGCACAUACACUGUACAUGAGUGUGAUAAGAACUACCUAAAAUUACAGAAACCAUCUUCGGAAACAUUUAUUCAACGUCUACUUUGAUUUUUGCUAACAUGGACUUAUGACCUGUACCGCAGCCAGACACCAGGGGGCGAUCAUGAUGAUUUGGCUUCACUUCAGAGGAGCCGUCGUGUCGUCCAUCUUUAUUUUCAGUCAUGUUCAAUUGGUUUUUACGUGUAAACUAGAAACGACACGAAACAGGCUUCAUAUGUUUGGUGUCGAGAUGAUUCUUGACCCUCUAAUCAUUUGGUUGCAUCUUGACACCCGUAGCUAAUUGGCUCCACUGCUAAAAACAAGCCAGUCUAUGCUAGCAGGGAAUCCACUUGCAGCAGGGAUCCCAACCGGGAAAUGUUUGACUACAAAUCUCAACGUCUCAUGACCAAAAUCUAAUACCAUCUUAAAAUAUAUACGUUAAAAAACAAAAAAAAAUUUGCGUAAAAAGCGGCUGAAAACUGGAUCGAAAUGUUGAUGUAUGACAGACAAACACGACAAUGACGCUUCUGGUUUAAAAAUUGUCUUUCCACUUUAAAAUGUAAUUUAUAUGAUUGUAUUUUUAAGAUUAAAAAAAAUUAUUACGAGGUGUUUCAACACCCGAGGAGGUUAAAACGCGGCGUGUUUUUACAGUGCACCCCCCCCAGUGGUCAGUCGGCGCUGGAGGUGGCUGUUUUUUCUCGGCGCGCUCGGCGGGAGCGGAUCUGAGCGCUGAACCGAAGCAAAGCAGAGUAAUUGUCUCUUUCCUCCUUAACAGGAUUAGAGCCCAGCGGUGUGGCGGGUUCAGCCCUCCAGUCAACCGUGUGGCUGGAGGCCGCCCCGAGGCUGCCAGCUGGACGGCCGCUAACGUUAGCCCGGGUCGCUGAGCUUCUCCGGGGUCCGCGAGUCUGGAUGAGAGAAAAUGAAAGGGAGGACGCAGGGGGAAAAUCUGGGGUGUCGAAAUAAAAACAAGUCCGUUUCUAUAUAGAGAGUUCGAGGAGGUUGUUGUAGUAAAAAUGACUAAAUAUGUCUUGUGAUAACAAUGAGCAUUAUGACGUAAUGAAUCACUUCCUGGUAGAGGAACCUCCCGCAUCCUCCUUCCAUAGCCGACGUCCAUCCAAGGGAAAACCAUACGUGGUCGACCCAUUGUGGCAUCUGGACCAAGGUUUCAGAGAAUCGACCUUAUCUUAUCUCAUCUUACCUGCCGGUGACGAGCAGCAGGACGCGGAACAGUCUCGGAAUCCUGUCCCCUUCCCCCCGACACCCAAACGAACGUACCACUUCCCUCCCUCGGUGGACUGAUGAGGUCAUUUUUUACCCCCAACAAGGACGUUAUGAUUUCGUGAAAACCGACUUCUUCUACUACAGACUUUGACAGAACUUGGCCGAGAAAGAAUCCUGCAACGUCCUGAAAUGUUGUCCUGGGUCCGGACAACGGGGCCAUGGAGCCGCGAAUCCAGGAAGUUCUCUGGGGAAGAAACUUGAACUUGGAGCGAGCUGAGCACCUCAACAUUUAGUGGAACGCUUUAUUGAACAUAGUGUUUAUUUCUGCGUCAUUAAUCUUUCCGCCGCACCUGGAGACACGGACUCCAGCGGCUCGACCUUGAAGCUCUCCGUGAAUUGCCCUUGACUUUCUACCCGGGCGUUCCUCCUUUUGCCCUCAAGGCUGCGCUGGCAAGUGAGACCAGGACAUGAUUUCCUCCACCAAGAAGGGGAUGAUGAUGAUGUCAUCCCCGUCUACUUGUUUGUUUGCAGGAUGAAACUACCGCAUGGAUUUCCAACGAACCUCGGUGGAAGGAUGGAACGAGUACCAAGAGCAACACCUGGAAGUGGAUGGGGACAGCUGAGCAGAUCAGGAAGGUUUCCUCUUUCUAUACCAUGGCGACAUAAGGCGUCGGCCUCGCUGGAGAUGAAUUCUCCUUCUGGUCGAACUAUGUCGUUUAUUGAAAGCGCCCGUUUCUUUUCCGCCAAGCGUCUUUGUGCUCCGUCGGCCCGAGGGGAGUUGGAGUUUGUCUCUGAACGGACACAGAAGAAAAGCUCCGGAGCGCGAGCGACUCACAAAAAGCUUCAGCGACGUUUAAAACAAUGACACGGAGCCACUCGGUGUCCGAUCGGAUCGGCUGCAGGUUCCCUGUGGACACGCAGGGGGCGGUCCAUUCAUCCGUGCGCUCAUUCUGCACAUGCAUCACGGUCCAUCAGUGAGUUAUUGUGCGUGUGACUCGCUGUAUAUUCUCUUUCUCCCGCUCUCCCUCUUCCCACGGCCGCUGUGAACCUGAUCUGAUCAUCACGGCACGUCGCUGUAACUGCUCUGAUUAGACAAACUGAAGGUUAAUGUGCGGCGACACGACUACUGCGAGACGGUUACGUCGAGAGAGAGAGAGAGAGAGAGAGAGAGAAACGGCCUCAGGUACCCAACCAUCGACUCACACGGGGUGUGUGUGUGUGUGUGUGGUGCCUUUCCACCUCUGUGAGGACCAGCUUCAGGCUUAUCGAUGACAGUGGGGACAUUUUUGGAGCGCGAGGACGUGAGGGCAAGUUUGAGAACAUUCUGGAAAGGGAGGAAAAGAGCGAGGACAUUUAUUUUCAAGUGAGGAAAGUUUUCAAAGUUAAUCCAUUUUGUUGAGCAGGACAUUUUUAUAAAAGUGGAGAUAUGUUUGAGGACAUUUUUAGGAAUGUUAAAAAACCCUGUUUAGGACAUUUUGGUUUGGUGAAGACUUUUAAUGAAGAGCGAGGACAUCGCUAUGAAAGGACACAUGUCGCCAAGUGAAGACUUUUUUUACAAAGGCGGUGCAAGUUUUCAAGAAGUGAGGACAUUGAGACGUGUAGAGUGUGAGGAUACAUCGGAAACUCAAGUGAGGAUACUCUUGAAAGUAAUAUUUGCACAUUUUCUGAAAAGUUUUGGAAAGUGAAGACCUGCAAGUCUGGUCAUCACUCUGUCCUUCGUCAGGAUGGGUCCUCACAAGUGUAGAAGAAUGAAAUGCAUGCAUACGGUACAGACUGCAUGUCUCAGUGUUUUACAGUAGACAAACACACACACACACACACACACACACACACACACACAGGGUUUCACUCGACAGAUGUUAAACGUUGUAGAGCUCACACUGUUCCUCCUCUCACCUGUGUGUAACCCCCAAACCACCACACACACACACACACACACACACACACACACACACACUAAUGACCCUAAUUACAAGCAAUUACUCAACAUAUCUUGUGCUGCCGCCCUCCGGCUGUGUGUGAAGCGCGUUGCUUCAGAGGAAGGUACAAUAGAGUACAGUGACCCGGCUACAGAUACACCUGGGCCCCGUUCCAGGAACAGGCUCCGCAAGAAGCUCUUGAGUCCGUUAACCUCUGACUUUUAACGCCGAGCCGGUUACCGCGGUUACUUAGCUUCGCGAGUGAGCUUCAGGGGUUAGCCUCACAGUUUAGCUUUCACACGGUGAGAAUUCUGCGCUUGCAGAGGCGUCAAACACGGGGAAGACGAAGCAGGUAAGUGCCUGGUGAGGGCCCCCGAGAUGAGAGCGGGGCCCCCGAGAAGAGAGCGGGGCCCCCGAGAUGAGAGCGUGGCCCCCGAGAAGAGAGCGGGGCCCCCGAGAUGAGAUGAGAGCGGGGCCCCCGAAAUGAGAGCGUGGCCCCCGAGAUGAGAGCGGGGCCCCCAAGAUGAGAGCGGGGCCCCCGAGAUGAGAGCGUGGCCCCCGAGAAGAGAGCGGGGCCCCCGAGAUGAGAUGAGAGCGGGGCCCCCGAGAAGAGAGCGGGCCCCCAAGAUGAGAGCGUGGCCCCCGAGCUGAGAGCGAGGCCCCCGAGCUGUGAGCGGGGCCCCCGAAAUGAGAGCGGGCCCCCCCCUCGAGAUGAGAGCGGGGCCCCCGAGAUGAGAGCUUGGCCCCCCCCCUCGAGAUGAGAGCGGGGCCCCAGAGCUGAGAGCGGGGCCCCAGAGCUGAGAGCAGGCCCCCGAGAUGAGAGCGAGGCCCACAAGAUGAGAGCGGGGCCCCCGAGGUAAGAGCUGGGCCCCCGAGCUGAAAAGUUAGAAUAUGGAAAGGUUAUUGUAUUGGGUUGCUUUAGAUUGUAGGGACUAGGUUUUCCUAAUAAAGUGCCCAUGUAUAUUACAUGUAAAGAAUAUAUAAAAUACAUUUACAAAAUAUAUUUAAAUAUAAUAUAUAUAUAAUUUAUAUAUAAGCAUUUACCCCCAAAAGGGCACAAACCUGUCUGGAGACGCGCGUGAUAAGAACCUAAUUACAGUGUGUGUGCGUGUGCGUGUGUGUGUGUGUGUGUGUGUGUGUGUGUGUGUGCGUGUGUGUGUGAAUGUAAAUCCCCCUGAUGUAACUGUGUGCGAGUGUUUGACUGAGUCAUUCUAGUGAGGACGAGGUGAAACCUGAACCCGACGCAGACGACAACAAACCGCGGGCGGAGAGACGUUCAGGGACCUCGGUGUGUUAUCAGCAGUUAGCGAGCUGAUAGCGCCGCUGGCGAUCGCCUGCUGUCUGCGUUGACGCUCCGUCAUGAGCUCCAGAUAACAGCGGAUCGGAUUCACACCCCACCGUCCCGGGUCGGUCGCCACGACAACACACACCUGUAAAUCAUAUCGGACACUGAGAGAGUUCGGAAUCACAAUGUCACCGGUUGAACUCUGGUGUUUGAUCUCAUCAAAUCUGUACAAUACUUUUGCAAAAAGGGUUUUUCAGCUUUUUUUUAAUUUCCAUUUUUUUUAUGUCAAACUAAAUGUAAAGUGUUUCCUUCACAUUAAUAUGCUGAAAUAUAAAAAUAAG